GUUGGUUCAACAUGUAACUAGGUUUCCACAUGCUGUUGGUUCAACAUAUAACCAAGUUUCCACAUGCUGUUGGUUCAACAUGUAACUAGGUUUCCACAUGCUGUUGGUUCAACAUGUAACCAAGUUUCCACAUGCUGUUGGUUCAACAUGUAACUAGGUUUCCACAUGCUGUUGGUUCAACAUAUAACUAGGUUUCCACAUGCUGUUGGUUCAACAUGUAACUAGGUUUCCACAUGCUGUUGGUUCAACAUGUAACCAAGUUUCCACAUGCUGUUGGUUCAACAUGUAACUAGGUUUCCACAUGCUGUUGGUUCAACAUGUAACUAGGUUUCCACAUGCUGUUGGUUCAACAUAUAACCAAGUUUCCACAUGCUGUUAGUUCAACAUGUAACUAGGUUUCCACAUGCUGUUGGUUCAACAUGUAAUAAAGUGUUCACACCUGACUUUUGCUUGCUCAUGUUACUAUGCCCCAGGAUAUUUACCUCAACCAUGACAAAUUAGAAUGACUUGUUCACAGAGGGGAUUAGUAUCUCAGGUAUACAUGCCAAAAGGGUUCUGUCAGGGUGGCUUUGUGUUCUGUGCAUUGUGUUGUCGUACCUUUAAGUCUUCGUUGCCAGUUUUUAUAUUAUUUAUUUAUGUUAUAUUUUCUGUUUAUUUGUGAAUACUACAUAUUGAUUACUGACAAUGUUUGAAAUAUUUUAUUUGUUCUCUCUUUACUAGUUUAUCAUGUGUGUAGUUUUCCAGCACUGCCGUACUAUCUGUGUAUUGUAUUGUACUGAACUGAACUAGUUCAUCCCUCAGCCACCUUAUAGAACACGUCCUGUGUUUGCUGGCUAUGUAUAUCAAAGUAUAUGUGCUCUAACAUCCAAGUCUGUGCAACCUGUGGUCUUGUAGCACCAUGGGUACCUAGGUUUGCUUUUCUUGUACAUUGUAUUAUUUGAUUUGUAAAUUAAUCAUCACUCUUAUUUAUGUGUAAUCAGUUACAGCAACAGGCCUUUCUUUACGCCCUAUUUUAUACACCGUGUUGUAGAACCUGCACAACUCCUAUAGUUUGAACAGAAGUGUGAUGGUUAAGGUAUCCAACUCUAUAGUGUGAACAGAAAGUGUAACGGUUAAGGUAUCCAACUCUAUAGUGUGAACAGAAAGUGUAACGGUUAAGGUAUCCACUUGAAUAGAAGUGUUUAAUCAUUCCUUUUAUCGUGUGAAUACAUCAUACAGCAUGGCUUCUGAAAUGACUAGCUUCUACAGCAGCCAAACACAGUAUUUCAGUUUCAUCUGCCAUCAUCCAUCAGAAUGAACACGAAAUGUUUGUAUGUUUUUCCGUCAGUACUAAACAUGUCUAUCCAAGUUUCAAACCAUUUCCUAUCAGACUGUCAUUCUUUUCUCGCCAACACUUCCUACAUUACGUCCUGCCUCAUCAGUCACCAGUAUCUGCCCAGUUGAUCAUCAGUUCAAGGUUGUGUUAGAGAGAUAUGUAUUCAAGCUGAUUGUUCCUAAGUUCUUGUUGUGAAUUCUUGCCAGAUCAUCGUUUUAACAUCUUCCGAAAUCCAACUACUCAUUUUAAUACACAUCCAUGUUCUUGUUCAGCCAGAGCUUCACCAAUAAAUGGCAAAUAUAACACCAUGUUCAUAUUUUAGAAAAGUUAUGUAUAAUUAUAUUAAUGGCUAAUUGACAUGUUAUGUUGAAAUCGUAGAAAUUGAAUUAUCCAGAUUUGUAAUUUUGAUCUAAAUACAAUAAUGAUGUAGUCAUCUUCAACAGUAUCCUGACUUAACCAGAGACCCCAAUGUGUGGAAGGAUUGACAUCGAACAUUUUAUUGUGAUCAUUGAAUUUGCUCAUAUACUUGGUUCCAAGUUUUAAUCUGAUCUGUACCAGCUUGUGAUCAAAAUGGCUGCAUAUUAAUAUACCUGCUUGACAUCACGGUAUAGACUUUACUAGAAGUUUUCUCCAGGCCAGAGCAUGGUUUUAAAGGAGAGUGUGUUGCCUUGGGUAGUGUUGACAGUGUUUUGACUCGCAAGGUUUUAGGUUAAGUUACUUCAUAGGAGUAUGCCAGUCAGUCACCAUGCUUUGACAUUUUUUGAUUUGUGAAAAACUAAAAGACUGUCAUUGAAGUAAAACCUUUUUCAUAUUCAUGAUAUAUCUGUUGAAAAAGCUCUUUUAGAAUGAACACUUAUCUAUUCCAGUUCCAUUUUGGUACACAUACAGCAAGAAUGCCAAUGACAUUUGACUUAUCCAGGUUGACAUUUUACAGAGGUCUCAGCACUGCACUGUAACAAACAUUUGUACUACAGGAUAUGCUCAAAUACCCUGGUCCAUUUGAUAAAUUAUCCAUGGAAUGUUUUGAAUUUUAAGACAAUAUUAUUCUAUAUUACAGGGUAGAAGUCAAGAAGCCUAGUGAUUAAAGGGUUGACAUGUCCCACUGGGAUCCCAGAAUAUUGUGACAUUACUAGAAUAAUAAUAAUCACAGCAAAACAAAUUAUUGUUGCAUUAACAAGUUGAUUUUAUUUAGUCACCCAUAAGAUAGGCUUCAUAGAAAGUAUGAAAAACGUUUAAUGAGUUGUGCUGAGAUUUUCUCUGUCAAACUGGACCCUUAUCUGAAAUCCCAUCUCUCGUGCAAUAUUUGAGGAGGAACCCAAUAAGAUCACGUGACUGUGAUAUUCUAGACGAAACAUUCUGGAUGGCAUUAGUGUCAGUGAUGGUAUAUACUGUGAUAAGUGUGUUCGUUUGUGUCAUUUGCUUGGGGGUUACCAUUUCGUUGCAUAAUCUACUUACGAAUUAGAUCUGUUUUGUAAGUUCUGAAUAGAGAGUUAUUGUAAUAUAUUGUUUGUAAAUGACAUGUAAAUAUUCGAAUUUUUCUGUUGAUCAUCUGUUAUUAUCUGUACAAUUAUGCUGUAUGAAACAAAUAAACUAUUUAAUUUAA
rnacentral:lncRNA from 1 species